rnacentral:rRNA from 9 species
GAGGCGAACCAGGGAACUGAAACAUCUAAGUACCUGGAGGAAAGGAAAGCAACAUGCGACUCCGUAAGUAGCGGCGAGCGAAAGCGGAUAGAUGUGAACUCUGUGAACACGUUGGAAUGCGUGACCAAAGACGGUGAAAGUCCGGUAGUGGAAUGUAGCAUCAUAGCUCUAGAGUAGGCUCGGGCUCGUGGAACCCGGGUUGAAUAUGGGAGGUCCACCUUCCAAGGCUAAGUACUCCUUGACGACCGAUAGCGAAGAAGUAAAGUGAUUGAAAGUUUAAAAGUACCCCUAUUAGGGGGGUGAAAUAGACCUGAAACCGUGUGCCUACAAGCGGUCGGAGCCCUUCGGGGUGACGGCGUGCUUUUUGCAUAAUGAGCCCGCGAGUUAGUCUCAGUGGCGAGCUUAAGGCCUAACGGGCCGGAGGCGGAGCGAAAGCGAGUCUGAAUAGGGCGUAUAGUCGCUGGGGCUAGACACGAAACCCGUGUGAUCUACCCAUGGCCAGGGUGAAGGUGGGGUAAAACCUGCUGGAGGCCCGAACCCGUCAUCGUUGAAAAGAUGUGGGAUGAGCUGUGGGGAGGGGUCAAAGUCCAAUCAAACCGGGAGAUAGCUUGUUCUCACCGAAAUAACUUUAGGGUUAGCCUCAAGAAGCAACUGUUGGGGGUAGAGCUACUGGAUGCGUGGUGGGCCCGUCUAGGGUACCCCAUGCAACCAAACUCCGAAUACCAACAGCCAAGUCUUGGGAGAUAGACUGCGAGUGAAAAUAUCCGUAGUCAAAAGGAGAAUAAUCCAGAUCGCCGGCUAAGGUCCCCAAAUCAUGCUUAGUUCUUAAGGAGGUCAGACUGCCGUGACAACCAGGAUGUUGGCUUAGAAGCAGCCAUCAUUUAAAGAGUGCGUAAUAGCUCAC